GACGAACGCUGGCGGCGUGCUUAACACAUGCAAGUCGAACGGUGAAGCGCCUUCCUUUUUGGUGGGUGUGGAUGAGUGGCGAACGGGUGAGUAACACGUGAGUAACCUGCCCCCUUCUUCUGGAUAACCGCAUGAAAGUGUGGCUAAUACGGGAUAUUCUGGGUCUGUCGCAUGAUGGGUCUGGGAAAGAUUUUGUUUCGGUGGGGGAUGGGCUCGCGGCCUAUCAGCUUGUUGGUGGGGUGAUGGCCUACCAAGGCGGUGACGGGUAGCCGGCCUGAGAGGGUGGACGGUCACACUGGGACUGAGAGACGGCGCAGACUACUACGGGCGGCAGCAGUGGGGAAUAGUGCACAAUGGGCGCAAGCCUGAUGCAGCGACGCCGCGUGAGGGAUGGAGGCCGUCGGGUUGUGAACCUCUUUCGCCAGUGAAGCAGGCCUGCCUCGUUUGUGGGUGGGUUGACGGUAGCUGGAUAAGAAGCGCCGGCUAACUACGUG
rnacentral:rRNA from 1 species